AUUGAACGCUGGCGGCAGGCCUAACACAUGCAAGUCGAGCGGCAGCGGGACCUUCGGGUUGCCGGCGAGCGGCGGACGGGUGAGUAAUGCCUAGGAAUCUGCCUGUUAGUGGGGGAUAACGCGGGGAAACUCGCGCUAAUACCGCACACGUCCUACGGGAGAAAGCGGGGGGUCUUCGGACCUUGCGCUAACAGAUGAGCCUAGGUCGGAUUAGCUAGUUGGUGGGGUAAUGGCCCACCAAGGCGACGAUCCGUAACUGGUCUGAGAGGAUGAUCAGUCACACUGGAACUGAGACACGGUCCAGACUCCUACGGGAGGCAGCAGUGGGGAAUAUUGGACAAUGGGCGAAAGCCUGAUCCAGCCAUGCCGCGUGUGUGAAGAAGGUCUUCGGAUUGUAAAGCACUUUAAGUCGGGAGGAAGGGCUGUAGGCUAAUACCUUGCAGUUUUGACGUUACCGACAGAAUAAGCACCGGCUAACUUCGUGCCAGCCGCCGCGGUAA
rnacentral:rRNA from 1 species